UUUUAUGAUAACAAGUAUAUUCUGUAAUUCAAUUCAUGGAAAGACGACCUUCAUCAAACAAAUAGACUAAAGAGUGGAGCAGUUUCUUAAGUUGAAUAAACUACCGCUGACCAUCUCUUAACCAAGGUUUUUAAUGAUCUUUUUUAUGAUAAUAAGGCAAAUUUAUAGUAGAUACAUAAUAUAUUCAACCGCCACUAAUUGACUUUGUUUGUUAGUGUAUUCUUUAAUUCAAUUCAUCGAAAAACAACCUUCAUCAAACAAAUAUACUGAAGAGUAGGAUAGCUUCUUAAGUUGUAUUAACUGUCGCUGACCAUCACUUAACCAAGUUAGAGGCUCCAUUACAACAACAGAGACUGCGGUUGGCAACAAAUAUGUUUUUAUAGUAUGCUUAUCUAUUGUUUAUAUUUUGCCAACUGUAAUUUUAAUUUGACAUUACAUAAUUAAGUGCACAUUAAUUUUUAUUUAAAUAGGUGUUUGGUGUAUCUCAAUAAGACAAACUAACUACUAAUGAUGCUGAAACCAUUACUAAAUAUAAGUUGUCAAUUGCUAUGGUAGAUCUACCGUCAGAGACAACCUGUUUUCAUAUUGCAGGCUAUACAAUAUGCAUAGUAUAAAGCUGUUCAAAAGGGUAAGUUAUAAUAACAUUAUCAUAUAGUCUCAUUCAAUAUUAUAUAUUUAUAGGUGCACUAUGCCACUAUAUAACCGUUUCAUUAUUUGUUUAUAUAUUUGCCUAUGUAAGUACACCAACACCACCUUGGGACGACCAUCGUAGAUGUGUAAAUGAUGGCCGAUAAGUACUCAUUUUGAAUAUCUUCAACCACAGUUCUACCAACCGCCAUAAAGUUAUCAUCGUCGCUGUAAUGAGCAUCAAUGGUAACAAAAUUGUUAAAUACUACUAUUAUAGUGAAAGUUUUAAUAAAUUAGUCUUGGAAGUUUCCAGAUUAACAAGUAUGUCAUGACAACACUUAGGCGGUGAAGACAUUCAACAAAGUUUCCCAUAUGACACAAUUACAUGUAUUUGUGUGAAAAAUUAUGGUUGUGAGUCUUUAGGAUAACUUAUUUUUUACAUUUCAUCAAACCUGUUCAGAAUCAGCACUGGUGGAUUAUGGUAUUAAUACAAGAGUAUUGAUGUAAUAUUAUAAUAAUAAUUAUUAUUAAAAUAUACUCGUUGUGUGUUUUUCCAGCUACUUUAACAUCGAGAUUUAUAAGCUUCAUAUACAAUAUAUUUAUAUGAGUGUAUAGUUACAUAAACCAUGUGUGUAAAAUCACUGCAUACUGUUAUUUCAUCACAUUGGUACCAAUAUUGCAUUGUAAACGUGUAUUGUAGCUAUUAUUACCUCAUUAUAGGUUCAAUAUUAAGGGUUCUUCACAAACAAAUUAUUAUUUUUGUAUUUAAUUCACAUAUAUAAAAUAAUAGUACUAGGUGCUAAUUUUUAAUACUAACAAUUAUUUUUAUUUUUUCAUUUACAGAUACAUACUUUUGAUCCAAAUUAACAUUCAUCGAUGAAUGACGGCGACAGCAAUGGCAUAAGUUUAGUGACAUCUAGGAUAGUUUAGAACGCUGUGAGGGUGGCAGUGAUGGACCCGGCGGCGUGAAGGUCCUGUGGUUGGCGAUUGAUUUCGUUUGGCCUCAGCCCUCGCAUCACCGUCGGUAGUACCUAUACGAUAUCACGUGUAGGUUUCUAAACAUCGCUGUCGCGCAAACGGCAUUGGCGAAGACAAUGGUUUGACGCGUCUAAGGCCAGUGGCGAUUUAUUUCGUCACUCGCGCCUUUGCCCAUGGCGUGUCUACUAGCGUCCGUAUGUGCAUUGGUGGUUGAAUAUCUACCGUCCCCUUGACUGGCCCGUGCUGGUCAUGGACGACGGUAGACUUACGUGGCCGAAGAAACUGUUGAAGUCGAAUUUCGACCGCUUUAGCUUUAUUGCCCGUAAGCGGCAUCACGUUAACGAGCUGUCGAAUGACCGUGGAACUCUGACCGAUAUCGGCUUCACGGCUGGUAUUGCGACGGCUGCGCACCGGUGGUAGAUAACCGCGUACCUUUGCACCGUUGGCAGCAGCCUAGACGUCCAAUGGCGGUUGUAAAACCGUCGUCACCACGGUUAGCGUUUCGCUGAUUGAGGAUGACGGCUGUCCAGUGUUUCAAAAGCCCAAGGUGAAGAUGAAUUUCAUCCACCUGAGCCUAUGAUAAUGCACUGGCGCCGUCGGACGUCAUUCAAAUAGGUUGUUGUAAAAACCGUUGUUGUAGUUGGAGCAAAGCUAGCUGUAUGCUGGUGGAGUGAUGACCAAUGAUGGACCAAUUGCGUAGAGGGCCGCAAACCUUCGGCCAUCGGGGGGCUCGAACGUAGCUAUGCACGCGUCAAUCAAUAGCGCUGCACUCCGACUAGGUGGUUCACCAGCGGUUGUGGGCGCUGAGCCAGGGGUAGAACGUAAUUGAGUUGAGAACUUUACUCCCCCCCCCCCCCACAGAGAAGAUGGAUAUCGUCUUCUCGCUCAUCGCGAAACAUUCUUAUCGGUUUCCCUGGUAGUGAGGUGGUAUAAUUUAACAACCGAGCACACAUAAAACCGCAUACAUACAAACAAACACUUUUCACAAGCAUUUCGACAAAUUAUUUAAGAACCAAAGUAUUUUACUUAGUAUUGAGAAUAGGAUAUCCCUGUUCCUAAUACUCUCUAAAAUACAAAAAGUUAGCAUGUAACUUGGCCGAAAAAUAAAAGUUAUAAAAAUAAAUAAAUAUAAUUUCAUCGGGUUCUAAAAAUGAUCGUGUGUAUUUUACCGUUCAAUUCUCGAGGUUUUAGAACAAUACAAAACAUUCAAACGGUCCGCGAUUAUUUUAUUAUAAAAUCCCAGAAGUAAUUUCCAGAUUACUUUUAUCAAGAACAUGAGCAAAACACACCUGCAUUUCUUGGAUUUCAAAUAGGAUGUGCCUAUUGCUGUCUUUUAUUUUUCAAAUAUUCAAUCAAUAAUAUAAUAAAUUAAGUGAGUACUUUUACGGUUUCAAAUACUAUUAGUAUUAGGUUAGACUGUCUUGAAAAUGAAAUAUAUUUUUAGAUACCUAUUAUAUAUAUUUAUAAUAAAUAUAUAAUAAUGACUUAAUAGGUUUUUAAUAGCUAUCAAUACACGAACAUUCAUCUUGUACUUAGCAACUUUUAUUAUAUAACAGUGUUAAUGAACCUAGGGACCUAUAUAGUUAUAUUGUAUAUGGAAUUUGGUAGUAUUCUCGAGUUAAAGCUAAAAUUACUAAGAGAGGUAAUAAUUUUAAUAAAUAUACAUAUAUGAUUAAUUCCUAAACCUUUGAGGUGACAGCUGACAUCAUCGUCAAAAAAAAUUUUCUUUCAAUUUAUCAGGAUAAAUAAAAGUAUAGUUGCGGGAACAAAAUGUAUAUGAUACAAUGAGAUAGAAAUUAAUAAUUAUUAUAUUGGUUGAAACAGAAUUAUAACCAUCAUCUAAACCUAAAUACAUGCAGAAUUAUCUAUAUUAUAUCAACAUAAUCGCCCUGGUGAUUGGCGUUAAACUCACCUCUCAUUCAAACAUACUUAGUUUGAUACAAAUUUGUCAGCCUUCCGAGUGAGAAGAGAGAGUGAAUACAUAAAGACGGUGAUUGUCGAAUACGAUUUAUAGCGCUUUAAUAGAGGACAUGUAUAAUGUAUUGAAUGAGUAAUGCGGAUGUAUUAUAAGAAUAUAAUAAUUGUUGUGUUGAAAUAUCACCAUAACCUUCAGUCAUUACGAAUCGACAACAACAUCGACGGUAAAAUCAGCGACUAAUCAGUUUCCAUCGGUAAUUUCAUCGAAAUCAACCAUCACAACAACCUACACCGAUUUACUUCAGUGACUUUUUCAUAGUGGAUGGCAUAGAAAGAGUAGGUUUGGUUAUGGAGAAGUCGUGCAGCCAAUGUACACCAAGACUUCUGGAGGGAGAUCCAUCGUCAUCGAAUUAAAGAUUCAACAGUUACAGUAUUAGAACAGCUACAACUCAAGUUGGACCAACUACAAACAACAUUCAACCACUACAACCACAUAGAGAUCAUUAACAAAAACAACGUUGACUUGGGUGAGGCGUCAAAGUCACAAUUUUCGCCCUGGUGAUUGGCGUUAAACUCACCUCUCACUCAAACAUACUUAAUAUCUGUUAAGUUUAAUACAAAUUUGUCAGCCUUCCGAGUGAGAAGAGAGAGUGAAUACAUAAAGGCAGUGACUGUCGAAUAUGAUUUAUAGCGCUUUAAUAGAGGACAUGUAUAAUGUAUUGAAUGAGUAAUGCGGAUGUAUUAUAAGAAUAUAAUAAUUGUUGUGUUGAAAUAUCACCAUAACCUUCAGUCAUUACGAAUCGACAACAAAAUCGACGAUAAAAACAGCGACUAAUCAGUUUCCAUCGGUAAUUUCAUCGACAUCAACCACCACAACAACCUGGGCGAAAUUUACUUCAGUAACCUUUUCAUAGUGGAUGGCAUAGAAAGAGUAGAUUUGGUUUUGGAGAAGUCGCGCAGCCAAUGUACACCAAGACUUCUGGAGGGAGAUCCAUCGUCAUCGAAUUAAAGAUUCAACAGUUACAGUAUUAGAACAACUACAACUCAAGUUGGACCAACUACAAACAACAUUCAACUACUACAACCACAUAGAGAUCAUUAACAAAAAUAACGUUGACUUGGGCAUGCGUAAAAAGUCACAAUUUUCGCCCUGGUGAUGGCGUUAAACUCACCAUAUACUCGCCGUCCAAAAAAAUACAAUUAACAACUGUAGCUGAAGACAAAUGUUGUCCAGCAUCUACACUGGAAAAGAUCAGGUGAAGAAAUAUGGGCGGCGAGUAUCCCGGCGACGGGAAAGUGGAUUGGUAUUGGAUAUGUAAGGUAUAUGAUUAUAAUAAGUUGAAUGAUCGACCUUUUAACUACCUAUGUAUCUAAUAUCAACCAUUAAUUAGAAUUAUUUAUAAAAUUAAAAUUUAAUAAGAAACAUAAAGUCAUGAUGGAUUUUUCUAAAAGAAAGCGAAAAUUUGUCCAGACUAAAACCCAAAAAUUAUGUCUCCUUUUUUUGGAGACAUUAAACCUAGGAUGCCUACCUCAAACAUGAUAUUUCUUUUACUAACCCGUGGUUGAUAACAAAAUAUGUUGUACAGCUGCUGGUGCAAGAAAAAUAAUUGAAAUAUCAUGGACAUCGUAUAAUUAGUGUAUUAGUUAAAACAAUUAGUAGAUGGGAAUUAAAUAAGAAUUGUAACUUUUAAGUCGUAACAAAACAGCAUUUUAAGGAGAUUCGAUACGUGUCGUUUUUAAGGAGUUCAAUAUAGGCAAUUUUCUGUGUUUGUGUGCUGGUUGUAUAAAUAUGUAGGUGAUCAUAAUAAUAUUAUGUGUGAGUGACUGUGUAUAAAAUAAAUAGCAGAGUGUUCCCGUACAUGAACGAACAUAUCAACAACGCAUGACACAAAUAUUAAUUGUUUUGUACUUUUUUGGUCAAAAGUAUCAAUCUUUUGCCAAUCAUAUUAAAUAACUUACUAUCCGAUAAAAUUUCUGAAAACCUAUUUGAAUUUGU